CCUACGGGAGGCAGCAGUGAGGAAUAUUGGUCAAUGGACGAGAGUCUGAACCAGCCAAGUAGCGUGAAGGAUAACUGCCCUAUGGGUUGUAAACUUCUUUUAUAUGGGAAUAAAAUGUUCCACGUGUGGGAUUUUGUAUGUACCAUAUGAAUAAGGAUCGGCUAACUCCGUGCCAGCAGCCGCGGUAAUACGGAGGAUCCGAGCGUUAUCCGGAUUUAUUGGGUUUAAAGGGAGCGUAGGUGGAUUGUUAAGUCAGUUGUGAAAGUUUGCGGCUCAACCGUAAAAUUGCAGUUGAAACUGGCAGUCUUGAGUACAGUAGAGGUGGGCGGAAGUCGUGGUGUAGCGGUGAAAUGCUUAGAUAUCACGAAGAACUCCGAUUGCGAAGGCAGUUCACUGGACUGCAACUGACACUGAGGCUCGAAAGUGUGGGUAUCAAACAGGAUUAGAUACCCCUGUAGUC
rnacentral:rRNA from 1 species